ensembl:lncRNA
CACACACAGGACCAUUUAACUGUCCAUUUGGACAAGAUAUCCAAUCUCGAUGGAAACUGUACAUGGCUGUGCUGGAGGUUUGUAGAGCAUCAUGGGAAGCAGUAGAGGGUGCACAUGGCUACCCAGUUCAGCAGGCAUCAGCUAUUGAGGGCAGCUUCAGAAGCCAGGCUAGCAAGGAGCAGAGUUCACGUCGUCUCCAGAGGGUGGUGCUGCGUAGUGCCAUGUGAUGGAAAUAGCGGGCACUGUGUGCACCACACAGGGCAAACCAGCACAGAGAGAUAGCAGUUCCGCCCAGAAAGAGUGUGACCUUCUGUCUGCCUAAUCUUGACCCAGAUGGCUGUACCUAGACACAGUGGCACAGUGGAGCAGGGAUCAAGGAUCAGAA